rnacentral:sRNA from 1 species
UACAGGACGUUCCACGGAGCAUAUUCCAAU